AGCAAACGGGAUUAGAUACCCCGGUAGUCCACGCCGUAAACGAUGUCUACUAGCCGUUGGAGGACUUGAUCCUUUAGUGGCGCAGCUAACGCGAUAAGUAGACCGCCUGGGGAGUACGGUCGCAAGAUUAAAACUCAAAUGAAUUGACGGGGGCCCGCACAAGCGGUGGAGCAUGUGGUUUAAUUCGAAGCAACGCGAAGAACCUUACCUACUCUUGACAUCCAGUGAACUUUUGAGAGAUCAAUUGGUGCCUUCGGGAACACUGAGACAGGUGCUGCAUGGCUGUCGUCAGCUCGUGUUGUGAAAUGUUGGGUUAAGUCCCGUAACGAGCGCAACCCUUGUCCUUAGUUACCAUCAUUAAGUUGGGGACUCUAAGGAGACUGCCGGUGACAAACCGGAGGAAGGCGGGGACGACGUCAAGUCAUCAUGGCCCUUACGAGUAGGGCUACACACGUGCUACAAUGGCAUGUACAAAGGGUUGCCAAGCCGCGAGGUGGAGCUAAUCCCAUAAAGCAUGUCGUAGUCCGGAUUGGAGUCUGCAACUCGACUCCAUGAAGUCGGAAUCGCUAGUAAUCGUGAAUCAGAAUGUCACGGUGAAUACGUUCCCGGGCCUUGUACACACCGCCCGUCACACCAUGGGAGUGGGUUGCUCCAGAAGUAGAUAGCUUAACCUUCGGGAGGGCGUUUACCACGGAGUGAUUCAUGACUGGGGUGAAGUCGUAACAAGGUAACCGUA
rnacentral:rRNA from 1 species